rnacentral:rRNA from 1 species
AGCGAACGCUGGCGGCAGGCUUAACACAUGCAAGUCGAGCGGGCACUUUCGGGUGUCCGCGGCGGACGGGUGAGUAACGCGUGGGAACGUGCCCUCUGGUUCGGAAUAACUCAGGGAAACUUGAGCUAAUACCGGAUACGCCCUUUUGGGGAAAGGCUUGCUGCCGGAGGAUCGGCCCGCGUCUGAUUAGCUAGUUGGUGAGGUAACGGCUCACCAAGGCGACGAUCAGUAGCUGGUCUGAGAGGAUGAUCAGCCACACUGGGACUGAGACACGGCCCAGACUCCUACGGGAGGCGGCAGUGGGGAAUAUUGGACAAUGGGCGCAAGCCUGAUCCAGCCACGCCGCGUGAGUGAUGAAGGCCUUAGGGUUGUAAAGCUCUUUUAUCCGGGACGAUAAUGACGGUACCGGAGGAAUAAGCCCCGGCUAACUUCGUA